UCCGUAGGUGGAUAAUUAAGUCAGAGGUGAAAUCCUGCAGCUCAACUGUAGAAUUGCCUUUGAUACUGGUUAUCUUGAGUCAUUAUGAAGUGGUUAGAAUGUGUAGUGUAGCGGUGAAAUGCAUAGAUAUUACACAGAAUACCGAUUGCGAAGGCAGAUCACUAAUAAUGUACUGACACUGAGGGACGAAGGCGUGGGGAGCGAACAGGAUUAGAUACCCUGGUAGUCC
rnacentral:rRNA from 1 species